rnacentral:rRNA from 1 species
UACGUAGGGUGCAAGCGUUAAUCGGAAUUACUGGGCGUAAAGCGUGCGCAGGCGGUUGUGUAAGACAGAUGUGAAAUCCCCGGGCUCACCUGGGAACUGCAUUUGUGACUGCACAGCUGGAGUGCGGCAGAGGGGGAUGGAAUUCCGCGUGUAGCAGUGAAAUGCGUAGAUAUGCGGAGGAACACCGAUGGCGAAGGCAAUCCCCUGGGCCUGCACUGACGCUCAGUGCACGAAAGCGUGGGGAGCAAACAGG